CAUUGAAUGAAUAGUACUUGUGGUGCAUAGGAAUAGGUGCUGAGUACAAAAGAUUUUCAUCUAGGGGAAUCGGUGAUUGCAUCACUUAUUAAACUGCUGAUAAUGAGACACUGAAACUAGAUAAAUUAUUACAGUGUAAAGGAUUAUGUUUCUCUGUCCUGAACCCUUUAAAGGUUUCUUUCUACAAUGUCCCUUAGAGAUAGCAUAUGACUUUUUUUUUUCAGAGAUAUGGGUCGACAAACUGCUUCUCUCCUGCUGCUGCUGCUCCUUCGAUGCACAUAUUGAUCAUUAUGAAAGUUUCUCAGGCUUAUGCAAUCAUUGAGCAGCAGCGAAAAUUUGAAUGUAAAGCUCAUUUGACAUCCAAUUAAUCAUCGCAUGCUUCUUUUUUCACUCUGUGCAGGGUGGUGGUGAAAGUCGUGAUCAGCUUUAUAGACGCUGUACGUCUGUGUUGCAGAGAAUUGGUGAAAAACACCGAGGGCAACGAGUAAUUGUAGUCAGCCAUGGAGGAGCCAUAAGAUCACUAUAUAAUCGUGCUGCAGCCAAAGGGCAGCGUCCAGGGAAGAUAUCAAAUACUUCAGUUGGUAUAAUUCAGGUAUCUGACAGAGACAUCUGGUCCAUCAAAUCAUGGAAUGAUGUCAGUCAUCUCACGCAAACCGGAUUUCUAGAGUCAGCUUUCGGUGGUGAUGCUUCUUCAGGCUAGUUCAUACAAAUGCAUACUAACUUUUCCUUUCAAUGGCUCUCCACACAUGAUUUAGUAUAAACCUUGGUUAUGUGGGAUUAAUUCCCACUUCUAUAAUUGGGAAACUGUGCAAUUAGUCUUGUACUUGAGAGAUGUAAAGACCUCCUAUUACUGAUUGUUUCUUAAAAUAUGCAUGUUAAUACGAUUAUGGCAUGGUCCCUUCGAUCAGAAUGUACUGAUAGCUGCAAGCCUGCAACAGAAGGCCAAUCUGUUCAUCUUUGGCUUUUCCUGUUCUACGUAAUGAAUCUUUUAUCCUACUUUCAAGCUCAGCUUGUUUGGUGCCACAUUAGUGAGGUCAAAGCACCAUCUUAGUGCUUCAUUUAGUUACCCUUGAUUUUCAUUUUUUUUAGGCUCUAGAAUUUAGAUUUUAAGAUAUUAGCUAGAAUAACAAAAAGAACAAAGGGAGCAUUAGCUAACCUAUAAUAAUAAUUUACUUAUUUUGUCAAUUUCUACAAUAACCAAAGAGCUAUUACAAAUUGUAUAAUACUUGAUAUUGGCCAAUAAACAGUAGAUCUUUAUUGUUUAUUGUUUUUGUGAGAAUUGUGGAGCAUUUCGCCAUCAUUACACACCAAGGUGUACCAUUUAUUCAUUUGAAGCUCUUCUUUUUGUGUAUAUUUUGCUCAUUUAGAGUCUUUCAAAUGAGCAAUGAACAAAAAAUAGCCUUGAUUGUAUGAUAAUAGUUGUACAUUAAUAUUUACUAUAUUUGCUAACUAACAAACUGCUUCCUCUAUUCCUACCUACGAGAGUAUGAGACAUGUUUGGGUUAGGAGUGCAAGCGGAAGCAAAUUUAGAGAUUGAGAAAAUUGGAUAAAAGAUGGACAAAGAAAAUAGAAAAUAAUACACACAAUUUAACGUGGGAAAAAUCCUUAAACGAGGUAAACAACCCACCAACGACGAGCACUUAUUAUCCAAUAUAUGAAAAAGGGUACGAGAGUACAACCCCGAAGGGUAAAAAGAUAUAAGGGGAGCAA